UCCAUCACCUUGGAUAGGGGGCACUCAGGCAAGGACCCUCUCUGCCUGCAUGCAGAAGAGUCUGCAUUCUUUCCAUGGUGGUGACAGAUCUCUGGGUUCACGGGUCUCCACUGACCCUAGUUCCUAGUUCUCAGGUCAAGACGCAGCCAGGACACAUCGCUUCCCCUGUUGCAGGUUUAUUACACAAUGUACUUAGCGGCAGUGACCCAUCCAAAAAUGAAAUUGAGAGCAAAGUUCCAUUCACAAUAGCAUUAAAAAAAUAAUGCUCAUGAACGAGUUAAGUAAAGAAAUUAAUAAUUGAAUUCAAAAAUUCAUAUGGAGAUUCAAAACAAUUUAGAGAAAGAUAAAAUGGAAGGACUUUCACUUACCAAUUUUAAAACUUAGUAUAAAGCUCCAGUUAUCAAGACAGUAAAGAUAGACAUAUGGACAAAUGGAACAGAAUGAGAACCCAGAGAAAAUAUUUAUAGUCAAUUUAUUUUUGACAAAGGUGCCAAGAAUAUUCAUUGGGGAAAGGACAGUCUGUUUAAAAAUGGUGCCAGGACAAUUGGAUAUCCAUAUGCAAAGAGAUGAACUUGGACUUAUCCCUCACACCACCCACAAAAUUAACUCAAAAUGGAUCUUCGACCAAAGUAAAAUAACUAAGAGGAUAAAACUUACAAAAGAAAAUAGAGGAGAAAAUCAUUGAGGCUUUGGGUUAAUCAAAUACUUCAUAUAUAUGACACUAAAAACACAGUCCAUCAAAGAAAAAAAAUGAUAAAUUGGACCUCACCAAAAGUCAAAAUUUUCAUCUCAAAAAUCACCAUUAGCACACAAAGCCCGGAACACUGACACCACCACAUGCUGGAGCCUAAGUGGAGCAAGAGGAAUCCCAUUCAUCACUGGCAGGGCGCAAAACGGUGCCAUCUAAGAAGACGGUUUGGUGGGGCGAGGACAUCCGAGAACUGACAUGGAGAUGGACACACUCCUCGCCAAAGUCAGUAAGAGUCAGGGAUCAGACAAUUCAAACGAGUGAAUUUCAUGAUAUGUAAAAUGUACCUUAAUAAAGAUGGCAA